CUACGUGCCAGCAGCCGCGGUAAUACGGAGGGUGCGAGCGUUAAUCGGAAUAACUGGGCGUAAAGGGCACGCAGGCGGUGACUUAAGUGAGGUGUGAAAGCCCCGGGCUUAACCUGGGAAUUGCAUUUCAGACUGGGUAACUAGAGUACUUUAGGGAGGGGUAGAAUUCCACGUGUAGCGGUGAAAUGCGUAGAGAUGUGGAGGAAUACCGAAGGCGAAGGCAGCCCCUUGGGAAUGUACUGACGCUCAUGUGCGAAAGCGUGGGGAGCAAACAGGAUUAGAUACCCUGGUAGUCCACGCUGUAAACGCUGUCGAUUUGGGGGUUGAGCUUUAAGCUUGGCGCCCGUAGCUAACGUGAUAAAUCGACCGCCUGGGGAGUACGGCCGCAAGGUUAAAACUCAAAUGAAUUGACGGGGGCCCGCACAAGCGGUGGAGCAUGUGGUUUAAUUCGAUGCAACGCGAAGAACCUUACCUACUCUUGAC
rnacentral:rRNA from 1 species